GAUGAACGCUGGCGGCGUGCCUAAUACAUGCAAGUCGAGCGAACGGACGAGAAGCUUGCUUCUCUGAUGUUAGCGGCGGACGGGUGAGUAACACGUGGAUAACCUACCUAUAAGACUGGGAUAACUUCGGGAAACCGGAGCUAAUACCGGAUAAUAUUUUGAACCGCAUGGUUCAAAAGUGAAAGACGGUCUUGCUGUCACUUAUAGAUGGAUCCGCGCUGCAUUAGCUAGUUGGUAAGGUAACGGCUUACCAAGGCAACGAUGCAUAGCCGACCUGAGAGGGUGAUCGGCCACACUGGAACUGAGACACGGUCCAGACUCCUACGGGAGGCAGCAGUAGGGAAUCUUCCGCAAUGGGCGAAAGCCUGACGGAGCAACGCCGCGUGAGUGAUGAAGGUCUUCGGAUCGUAAAACUCUGUUAUCAGGGAAGAACAUAUGUGUAAGUAACUGUGCACAUCUUGACGGUACCUAAUCAGAAAGCCACGGCUAACUACGUGCCAGCAGCCGCGGUAAUACGUAGGUGGCAAGCGUUAUCCGGAAUUAUUGGGCGUAAAGCGCGCGUAGGCGGUUUUUUAAGUCUGAUGUGAAAGCCCACGGCUCAACCGUGGAGGGUCAUUGGAAACUGGAAAACUUGAGUGCAGAAGAGGAAAGUGGAAUUCCAUGUGUAGCGGUGAAAUGCGCAGAGAUAUGGAGGAACACCAGUGGCGAAGGCGACUUUCUGGUCUGUAACUGACGCUGAUGUGCGAAAGCGUGGGGAUCAAACAGGAUUAGAUACCCUGGUAGUCCACGCCGUAAACGAUGAGUGCUAAGUGUUAGGGGGUUUCCGCCCCUUAGUGCUGCAGCUAACGCAUUAAGCACUCCGCCUGGGGAGUACGACCGCAAGGUUGAAACUCAAAGGAAUUGACGGGGACCCGCACAAGCGGUGGAGCAUGUGGUUUAAUUCGAAGCAACGCGAAGAACCUUACCAAAUCUUGACAUCCUUUGACAACUCUAGAGAUAGAGCUUUCCCCUUCGGGGGACAAAGUGACAGGUGGUGCAUGGUUGUCGUCAGCUCGUGUCGUGAGAUGUUGGGUUAAGUCCCGCAACGAGCGCAACCCUUAAGCUUAGUUGCCAUCAUUAAGUUGGGCACUCUAAGUUGACUGCCGGUGACAAACCGGAGGAAGGUGGGGAUGACGUCAAAUCAUCAUGCCCCUUAUGAUUUGGGCUAUACACGUGCUACAAUGGACAAUACAAAGGGCAGCGAAACCGCGAGGUCAAGCAAAUCCCAUAAAGUUGUUCUCAGUUCGGAUUGUAGUCUGCAACUCGACUACAUGAAGCUGGAAUCGCUAGUAAUCGUAGAUCAGCAUGCUACGGUGAAUACGUUCCCGGGUCU
rnacentral:rRNA from 1 species